rnacentral:lncRNA from 1 species
CAAGGACAAAUGGAACGAAGUCCGAGGAGCCAGAGGCAGAUUGCUUUGUUUUUCUAACAGCAACCCAAAGCAAGAAACUUCAGAAAAGUGACUAAGAAUAGGCGUUCUAAGCUUUUCCAUAUACUUUCUUAAAAGGGAGAGACAAUGUCCCUUGAGUUUUAAUUCUCCUGCAUGGUUUUUCUGAAAACUAUCCUUCACGUGUGUAAACAGAGCAAGGUUGCAGUAGAAGGAGAGGAAGGGACAUUGGUGGCAAUACUGAUAGCAAUUUGCUUUGUCCCUUAAUCCACCCUCAGGAAAUAUCCAUUGGGUGUCCUUUACGGCCAGGUCAUUUGGGCGAGCUCCCGAGCAGUCCCCCUGCCCAUGGAGGUAAAAUCUGCUAAUCAGUAUCCAUAAAAUUUCCCUCAUGUCUUGAAUGAAGCAUUCCUUGACUGACAAAAGAAAAGCAAAAUGACUUCUGGACGUCACAGUUCUGAGUCCAAAAGUAGCUAUUUUUAUUAGUCAUUUCAGGCAUAUCUUUCAUCCAAAUCUGAAGCAUUGUGUUUUGGAUCUUCUUCUGAAGAGGAAGAGCAGGAGGCUUGGAGCCCUGAGGCACAGCUGUGGAGGGGCGCAGGCUGCAGAGAGGUUUCACAGAUCACAGGCGGCAGAUGCAGAGCCUGAGCCCUCUCAGGUGAAGGUGAGCCCAUUGGUGGGCGACAUGAAUAUUCACAAACAGGUAUAAAGUGCCGCAGCUUCAAUCGGCUACUUUGGCAGAGAAGUCAUGGACCCGAUCUCCUGGACUGGCCUGAACCGUCUGGGAAGUGAUAAUGUCAUAAACACAC